AUAAAUCCUAAAGGGAUACUAGGUUAAAAUUCAAAGAGACAAAAGAGACUUGAAAAAAACUGUAGGAGUUGAAUUUAUAAAAGAUUUCAUUCACUUCAACAACUCUAUAGCAAUUGUUUUCUCUUCUCUUUUAUCUUUUUAUUCUUUUUUUUCAGAAGGAGUAUGUAUUGAUUGACAUCCUUCUAUUUUUUUUCUUUCAUUUUUUUUUCUUUUCUAUUUUUCUUUUCUUUUUUUGUAAACUUCUGAAAUAUUACAAACAUAAUUAAUCAACCCCACACAACUCCAAAUAAGACUCUUGCACCCCUUUAAAUAGGACGAUAACAUUGUUUUUCACUUCUCAGUUUGUAAUGAGUUUUAAACAAAAAAGGGAUAAUAGGAUCAAGGGGGUUUCA
rnacentral:lncRNA from 1 species